CAUUACCGAGUUUACAACUCCCAAACCCCUGUGAACAUACCAUAUUGUUGCCUCGGCGGUGCCUGUUUCGGCAGCCCGCCAGAGGACCCAAACCCUUGAUUUUAUACAGUAUCUUCUGAGUAAAUGAUUAAAUCAAUCAAAACUUUCAACAACGGAUCUCUUGGUUCUGGCAUCGAUGAAGAACGCAGCGAAAUGCGAUAAGUAAUGUGAAUUGCAGAAUUCAGUGAAUCAUCGAAUCUUUGAACGCACAUUGCGCCCGCCAGUAUUCUGGCGGGCAUGCCUGUUCGAGCGUCAUUUCAACCCUCAAGCCCCCGGGCUUGGUGUUGGAGAUCGGCGGGCCCUCCGGGGCGCGCCGCCUCCCAAAUUUAGUGGCGGUCCCGCUGUAGCUUCCUCUGCGUAGUAGCACACCUCGCACUGGAAAACAGCGUGGCCACGCCGUAAAACCCCCCACUUCUGAAAGGUUGACCUCGGAUCAGGUAGGAAUACCCGC
rnacentral:rRNA from 1 species